GGGCUAUAGCUCAGUUGGUUAGAGCGCACCCCUGAUAAGGGUGAGGUCGCUGGUUCAAGUCCAGCAUAGCCCA
rnacentral:tRNA from 1 species